rnacentral:rRNA from 1 species
UACGUAGGCGGAAAAUUAAGUCAGUAGUGAAAUCCUGCAGCUUAACUGUAGAACUGUUAUUGAUACUGAUCUUCUUGAGUACAGUUGAGGUAGGCGGAAUGUGUAAUGUAGCGGUGAAAUGCUUAGAUAUUACACAGAACACCGAUUGCGUAGGCAGCUUACUAAACUGUUACUGACGCUGAGGCACGAAAGCGUGGGGAGCGAACAGGAUUAGAUACCCUGGUAGUCC